GUCAAUGGUUAACGAUCAACUAUCGAUGGCCAAGCUCCUCCGCCCUAGCUGAACUGAAAUCCUGCAUUCGUCCCUGAUCUUAAUACAACUGUUGGGAAUAUUAGCAAUUUGUUCUUGUAUCAUCAUAUGUUUCCAUUUUAAUUUUCUUAUUUUUCAUUUUUGGAUUCAGGUGCAGCUAGAGGCAGUGGUUGGCAGAAAAUAGGAGCCUAUGUGAAUCUUGGUUUAUAUUAUCUGGUUGGAAUUCCAGUGGCUUUGCUGGUGGGAUUUGUUUACCACUUUAGAGGAAAGGGCCUUUGGAUUGGAUUGGUAGCAGGGGCAACACUGCAAUCUUUCUUGUUUUCUCUUGUAACAAUUCUCACAGAUUGGGAGAAACAGGCAAUGGAAGCAAGACAAAGGAUAUUUGAGGGAACAACUCCAGCCCAGAUUGAAUUGGUUCCAGAGAAUGAAGAGUUUGGAGGAGACAUGUUUAUUCGUGAUACAUUAAUGUGAAGAAGAAUUUCAAAAUAAUAUGGUUAAUUUAAAUAAAUAAAUAAAUAAAAGUUUGAGAAAA